rnacentral:tRNA from 1 species
GCUGAUAUAGCUCAGAUGGUAGAGCGCAUCCUUGGUAAGGAUGAGGUCGGCAGUCGAUUCUGCUAUCAGCACCA